rnacentral:lncRNA from 1 species
CUGUAGGAGUAUGUAAUUAUGUAUAUAUAAGCAAGUAUAUUUUAAUUUGUAUUUUAAUCACUAAGUCUAGCCCUAGCUUAACCACUCAAUCUAACCUGCUUCACUUUCACAAUAGCACUCUCACCCUUGCGCUUACGUUGUCUAUUGUAUCUAUUGUCUUGCCCCAGCCCCAGGCCCCUUAGUUUCAAUAGCAGGGAGUUUUGUGGGUCAGCUAUCAUUUUCCCUUCAGUCUGUCUGGUCACUGGUCACAGCUAGCAACAGCUUAUAACAGGUUAGUUUAUAUAUGGAUUGUGUAUUUUAUGUUUUCAUGUUUAGUGUGUAUGUAUUAUUUCUUAACUUCCUUUAAAGCAUGUAUCAUGUUAUAUGUGGUAAAUAUUAAUCAAAUUAACUAUCUGUUACAUGCGCCAAACUUUGCAUGAAUGAAUGAAUGUAUGUAUGAGGGGAAGGCUUAUUAGAACAGAUAUUUUAUGUACAGUAGAUUGAUAAUGUACAGAAGUAGAAUGUUAUAUAUUAUUGGAUUUGUAUAUGUUUAUGUUCAGGUGUGGCAAACAUAGUUCCAGACGUUUGUGGCGGUAACGGGCACAGUGCCAUACACUCGGUGAGGGUUCCUUUGUAUUAUAUUGUAAACAAUCAUGUUAUGCACUUGUAUGAUGCCACAUGUGUAUCUUCAAAUAUAAACAUUAUAUACAAUUGUAGAACUUAUUGCUAAGCCUCACAUGUAUUGUAGCGCAUUUUGAUGCAAUGUAUUUAUUCCUUUAUAGGGCCUUCUUCAGUUAUUGCCAAUAAACUGACAUCUACGAAAAAUAUUCGCCUUUGUGGUAUCUACAAAACCACUCCGGUUACAUUGGCGUCGUCGGCAGGAUGUAGAUGUUCAGAAGGAACAGUGAUGCAACCAGUGACAAGGGACAAUGAUGGACAUCAACUUUCCAUAGACGGAAGGGAACCGUAAUGACCAAGUAAUGUAACACUACGGUGUGGCAAACAUAGUUCCAGACGUUUGUGGCGGUAACGGGCACAGUGCCAUACACUCGGGCCUUCUUCAGUUAUUGCCAAUAAACUGACAUCUACGAAAAA